GGGGAUUUAGCUCAGUGGUAGAGUGCUUGCCUAGCAAGCACAAGGCCCUGGGUUCAGGCCCAGCUCCG
rnacentral:tRNA from 1 species